CGUUAUGGCGGCUGUGCGCGGGAGGCUUUCGAGUCUGCCGGGUUCCUUGAUUCCCGGUCUGCGAACCUGCGUACAGUUGCCACCCUC
rfam:Pseudomonas sp. GM78 PMI35_contig10.10, whole genome shotgun sequence.